ACUUACAGCUGUGUUCUCUGUCCGUUCCGGCCGUGCCCUCGGGCCCAGAGCGCUGUGUACCAAAGGCCGAACUAGGAGAUGAGGGCAGUGCAAAUACAGCCAUGAUACCCGUAGGAUGCUGAGGAGAGUGGCCAAAUGCUUGCUCAGCGACUAUAAGAUUCUGCCAGCAGCAUGACACCAUCUUAGUCCUUCUGUUUAGUCCUUGUUCUUGCUGACGAUGUGACCAUCAUCGGUGAGGACAGUAUUCCUCAGAUUACUUCUCAGAACAACUUCUGCUGACUGAUUCUGAAAUCCUUACUCCAGAAGGUCCUCAACUUGCUUCAGCUCAACUGUUCUCAUCAGUGACAUCUGGUUAGAGAACCAAUACAUACAGUACAUAAUCUUUCACACCAUACAAGCUUUAGCAUGGUCAUGGAUGUGGGUUUGGCUCAGUCCCAUGUCUGGGCAUAGUUUGGAGGAUAGUAUGGCCACAGACCAUACCAGACUAAGAGGCAGGCUGAAGUUAUGCACAAAACUACGUGUCUGAGGGAGUUGCACUGUAUGGUCAAGAAGCAUGCUAUGCCCUUGCAAGAGAAUGAUCCAUGGAACGAAGAAGUUUUGAAUUUCAGGUCAUUUUCUCCUUUGCCAGGUUUCUGGAGGCAUGUUUGGGCAACACCAGUUUAUUUCCUAAGUUUUGACUCUACAACUGUCCACAGACUUUCUAAGGACCUGCUCUCAGAAGUUUUUUUCUUUCCAUUCCUUCUCUGAUCUGUACCCACCCAUUAUGACUCAUUUAACGCUUGAUUCCUGCCCCAAAGAACUUACAGGUUAUCAGUUCAGUUUGUGUGCAUAUGGUUUUGGCACAGUGCUUCUAGCCUAGGACGUAGGUUCGUAGUUACUAUGAAAAGACAAGUUGCAAGAAAUUCAACCAGUGUAGUCUCUGACAAUUAAUAAAACUGGCUUUAAAAAAAGUCGAAAAGAAGAAAGGUUUAAUAAAACUCAAGCAUGGGUUACUAGAAUUUAUUACAUAUAUUUAUGCAGAACAAAAAAGAAAAGAAAAAAAAGCCUUCAGUUCUUGGGGCAUUAGAUUUUCCUGCAAGUGUUUUGGCCAUUCAGCAAAAUGACCACUCAGACCAGAAAGCUAUUUAAUGCAUUAUCUCACAUGCCUCAAAUCCCACACCAAAACUGGAUUUCAUCUUCCGGCAUAUAGUGCCUGGGUUAUGAAUGACUGCAAUUGUUAAUGCAUACACAAUGUCCAUGAAAAAAGAUUCAAUAAAUAGAGAACUUGAGCUUUUAGCUAAUUUAUAAUGUAUUCAUAAGCAAAUAUAGCUCUGGAAUCUGGUACUGACCGUCUUGAUAAUAAACGCAGUAGCUCAAGCUGUAAAAGCUGUA